UACGUAGGGGGCUAGCGUUGUCCGGAAUCAUUGGGCGUAAAGCGCGUGUAGGCGGUCCGGUAAGUCCGCUGUGAAAGUCGGGGGCUCAACCCUCGGAUGCCGGUGGAUACUGUCGGGCUUGAGUACGGAAGAGGCGAGUGGAAUUCCUGGUGUAGCGGUGAAAUGCGCAGAUAUCAGGAGGAACACCAAUUGCGAAGGCCGCUCGCUGGGACGUUACUGACGCUGAGACGCGAAAGCGUGGGGAGCGAACAGG
rnacentral:rRNA from 1 species